GUCAAAAGAAGGACUUGACAGGCUCAGAAAAGUCAAAAAUAGUGAGAUAUCUUGCAGAGGGAUGCAGCACUCUUAAAAUUGCAAAGCUUCUGAAGCGGGAUCAUCGAACAAUCAAGCGUUUCAUUCAAAAUAGUCAACAGGGUCGCAAGAAGCGUGUGGAAAAACCAAGGCGCAAAAUAACUGCCCAUGAACUGAGAAAAGUCAAGCGUGCAGCUGCCACGAUGCCACUUGCCACCAGUUUGGCCAUAUUUCAGAGCUGCAACAUCACUGGAGUGCCCAAAAGCACAAGGUGUGCAAUACUCAGA